AGUGCAGCAGCGGCGACAGCGGCUGCGGCCGUGGCCGUGCGGGAGGAGCCGGAAGCCCCGCCCCCGGGGAGGGGCCGUCCUGCAGGUCCCCCCUCUAUCCUCCACGGCCCCAUCCAAGCCAGGGAUGAAAUUUAACGGCAAGAAGGGCGCAGUUGACGCGGCGUCAAUGAACUGAGACUAAGUCAAAAGCCGGGUAAAGCUAGGUCUUCGACGUGAAGCCCCGCCCACUGUGCCCAUAGGCCCCUCCCCUGGGACGGUGAUGAAAGACCUGCCCACUCCGCUCGAAGGCCCCCGCCCCCUGGGUCUAGUUUCAGAACAAGACUUUUUUUGUACAGCCCUGCCCAUUCCAGGACUGCAGGGUCUGGUGGGGAAGGUCCCGCCCACUCUGCGCAUAGGCCCCGCCGGCUCCGCGCUUAAGACGGCCGCUGAGUUAGUUGUGGAGACCCCGCCCACUCUGCUCAAAGACUCCAACCCUGGGUUUAGAUCCGAAGGGACUGCCUCUGGCUUGAAUUUGCAUAGCCCCGCUCACUGUGCUCUUAGGCUCCGCCUCCCCGCU
rnacentral:sRNA from 1 species